UCCCUGGUGGUCCAGUGGUUAAGACCCUGUGCUUUCAACAUAGGAGGCCUGAGUUCGAUACCCACUCAGGGAA
rnacentral:tRNA from 1 species